rnacentral:tRNA from 1 species
GCAUCCAUUGUCUAAUGAAUAAGACAAAGGUCUUCUAAACCUUUGAUAUAGGCUCAAAUCUGAUUGGGUGCA